AUUGAACGCUGACGGCAGGCCUAACACAUGCAAGUCGAGCGAGCGGCGGACGGGUGAGUAAUGUAUGGGGACUGCCCGAUAGAGGGGGAUAACUACUGGAAACGGUAGCUAAUACCGCAUACUAUCGGAUAACCCCUAUGGGAUUAGCUAGUAGGUGAGGUAAUGGCUCACCUAGGCGACGAUCCCUAGAUGGUCUGAGAGGAUGAUCAGCCAGUUUGGGACGUAGUCAGGGCCUAGAGUCCUACGGAGGCAGCGUUUGGGAAAGUGGCACAAGGGGCGCAUGGCUGAUGCAGGUAGGCAACGUGUUUAAGGGAGGCCCUAGGGUUGUAAUGGACUUUCAGUCGUGAGGCGUUAACGUCAGAAGAAGCACCGGCUAACUCCGUGACAGCAGCCGCGGUAAUUC
rnacentral:rRNA from 1 species